UGGUCAGGAAGGACAGAUGUCCCAGAGCAUUCGGGAUCUCUCCUCAUGGAAAUGGCCAGCCCCACUGUCACUGAACGGCCUGUCAGGGAAGGGAGAUGUGUCUGACAUAUUCAGAGUCCAGAUACUAAAAGCAGAGAAAAACUGCAGUGUGCCUGGAUACGUAUCACUGCACUGGAAUAGUUUGUCCUUUUUGUCCUGUGCUCACAAGAGAUUCUUCAUGUGCAUCUCGGAUCUUUGGGUCCUUUUUACAGUGCAGUGAACACUUCUGGCAUAAGAUAUAGUGAUUAUUGCGAUAAGGAAACCCUCGUGUCGCGACCCACUGGCGUCUGGCUAAUCCGAUGGUAUUCGUCGCCGCAUUGUCCGUGAUCAAUAACUAAUUAUCAAAGUGGCAUUUCUUUUCAAGAGCUCCUUGUUAAAAAAUGGCUUUUGGCUGAGAGUGGAGGAAAAAGGUCGCCACUUUGACAUCGUUGCGAGUCUUUCAAAAUCCAGUGGGCCGUCCGAUUGAAUUACUGUCCCAAACUAAUUGAUAUAAAUUUGAACAGAAGAAUGCUUGUUACUACAGAAUGUCAUAAUGAUAUCCUUGGCAAGAGCAUGUCAGUGGGAAAAAAAGGAGAAAAGACCAGCACUAGUCACAAAGCAUCUAGACAAGUUGCAGCACAAGACUAUUAACAAAAUUAACAGCAACAAAAUUGUACACCAGUUCCUUCUUCCCAGCCAGUCUGAUCAGACGUUGGAGAAAGAAAAGCAUUAACAUUUCCUUUUGAACCUCGUCCUUUCUUUGAAAACAGGCUUUAAAAAUAUCUACUGGAAAUAAUAAUUGCAGUGUACAAGGGACUGAAACUUGAUGAUCAGUUGCAGAAGUCUCAUUGACUCUACGGGGAUCAUGAAACACAUGAAACCAAUGAAUACUCCUCCAGCGGAGCAAAUUCUUUUCCCAGCAGCCACAAUGAAUAAACAAGUUUCAAGUGACAUCGAGACUACUUGGGAUUCUUUCUGAUUCAGUUGUGCACAUAUGGACUGAUGCCAGUGGAACCAAUGGAAUGUCUCUGGAUAUACAUUCACUGUAACUGAGGUAUCCCAAUGAUUUGAUCAGUUAAAAUAGCUGAAUGAAGCUGAACCAGGGCAGGGGACAAAUAGGAAAGCUAUGGCAAGACAGGAAACGUGUCCCUAAAAAUCCAGUAACUCUUGCAGCAAGAAGAUGUGGUCCCAAAUAAUGCGCCUGAAUGUGCUGUCGUGGAAAGAUGUGGC